rnacentral:lncRNA from 1 species
UAGGAGAAGGGAUGGUGCCUGAGUCUGCGGCAGACCCUGAACUGGGCCACAUCUCCCAACUUGAGAUUGAAGUCGCUUUGAAAGCAGAGCACAUGAAUCCGGGCAACGUGACUUAAGAGCUGGCUGAUGUUCCAGGACAGCACAAAAGAACGGAACUUGUUUUCAUGCUAUGAGUGCGCAAACCAAUGGGCAGUUUUUGGGGUUACUCGUGAUUGCUCCUAGGUCCAGAGUUCAGGCAGCAAUCUGAGCCACUCAACUGCUCUUCUUUACCCCUCUACCUCUGCAGUUCAUUGGGGGACAGAGCUGGGCCAGGCUCCUGGGACAGAAGGAGGAGGCGGGCCC